rnacentral:sRNA from 1 species
GCCGGGCGCAGUGGCCCAUGCCUGUAAUCCCAGGUGCUUGGGAAGCAGAGGCAGGAGGAUCCUGAGUUCAAAGCCAGCCUCAGCAAUUUAGCGAGGCGCUUAGCAACUUGGUGAGACUCUGUCUCUA